rnacentral:rRNA from 1 species
UGUCCGUUUGAAGGUAUAAAUGGUCUGGCCUGCUCACUGAUAAGGUUAUUUAAGAGCCGCGGUAUCUUGACCGUGCAAAGGUAGCAUAAUCAUUAGGAGUUUAAUUGGAGUCUAGAAUGAAUGGUUGGACAAAGGAAAAGCUGUCUCUGUUGUAAAAGUUGAAAUUUACUUUUAAGUGAAAAGGCUUAAAUGAGUCAAAGGGACGAUAAGACCCUAUAAAGCUUUAUAGAUAAUAUGAAUUUAAUUGAUUUAAUGUUAAUAAAAAUUAAGUUCAACUAUUCUAUUUCGUUGGGGUGAUGAGAGUAUAAGUUAAAUUAACUGCUUUAAAAAAAUUCUAAUAUGGGAGAAUAAAAGAGUAAUGAUCCUUCUUAAAGAUUAAAAGACUAAGUUACUUUAGGGAUAACAGCGUUAUUUUUUUUGAGAGUUCUUAUCGAAAAAAAAGAUUGCGACCUCGAUGUUGAAUUAAAAUAUCUAUAUAAUGCAGCCGUUAUAUAAGAGG